UGAGGGAUAUUGGGCAAUGGGGGAAACCCUGACCCAGCGACGCCGCGUGAGGGAAGACGGUCUUCGGAUUGUAAACCUCUGUCUUUGGGGACGAAGAAGGACGGUACCCAAGGAGGAAGCUCCGGCUAACUACGUGCCAGCAGCCGCGGUAAUACGUAGGGAGCGAGCGUUGUCCGGAAUUACUGGGUGUAAAGGGAGCGUAGGCGGGAUUGCAAGUUGGAUGUGAAAACUGCGGGCUCAACCCGGAGAGUGCAUUCAAAACUGCGAUUCUUGAGUGAAGUAGAGGCAAGCGGAAUUCCUAGUGUAGCGGUGAAAUGCGUAGAUAUCUGGAGGAACAUCAGUGGCGAAGGCGACUAUCUGGCACAUAACUGACACUGAGGAGCGAAAGCGUGGGUAGCAAACAGGAUUAGAUACC
rnacentral:rRNA from 1 species